rnacentral:rRNA from 1 species
GACGAACGCUGGCGGCGUGCCUAAUACAUGCAAGUAGAACGCACAGUUUAUACCGUAGCUUGCUACACCAUAGACUGUGAGUUGCGAACGGGUGAGUAACGCGUAGGUAACCUGCCUGGUAGCGGGGGAUAACUAUUGGAAACGAUAGCUAAUACCGCAUAAUAUUAAUUAUUGCAUGAUAAUUGAUUGAAAGGUGCAAUUGCACCACUACCAGAUGGACCUGCGUUGUAUUAGCUAGUAGGUGAGGUAACGGCUCACCUAGGCGACGAUACAUAGCCGACCUGAGAGGGUGAUCGGCCACACUGGGACUGAGACACGGCCCAGACUCCUACGGGAGGCAGCAGUAGGGAAUCUUCGGCAAUGGACGAAAGUCUGACCGAGCAACGCCGCGUGAGUGAAGAAGGUUUUCGGAUCGUAAAGCUCUGUUGUAAGAGAAGAACGGGUGUGAGAGUGGAAAGUUUCACACUGUGACGGUAUCUACCAGAAA